rnacentral:rRNA from 1 species
CUUGGUCAUUUAGAGGAAGUAAAAGUCGUAACAAGGUUUCCGUAGGUGAACCUGCGGAAGGAUCAUUAAUAACGCCCCGUUUUUUUCGCAAGAUUUAAAUGGGUUCAAUACCCAAAACCGUGUCUACCUACCUUUGUUGCUUUGGCAGGCCGCCUUCGGGCGUCGGCUCCGGCUGACCAGCGCCUGCCAGAGGCCCAAAACUCUGUGUUUAGUGAUGUCUGAGUACUAUAAAAUAUUUAAAACUUUCAACAACGGAUCUCUUGGUUCUGGCAUCGAUGAAGAACGCAGCGAAAUGCGAUAAGUAAUGUGAAUUGCAGAAUUCAGUGAAUCAUCGAAUCUUUGAACGCACAUUGCGCCCCUUGGUAUUCCGAGGGGCAUGCCUGUUCGAGCGUCAUUAUAACCACUCAAGCCUAGCUUGGUAUUGGGGUUCGCGUGCUCGCGGCCCUUAAAAUCAGUGGCGGUGCCGUCUGGCUCUAAGCGUAGUAAUUCUCUCGCUAUAGAGUCCCGGCGGUUACCUGCCAGAACCCCUCACUUUUUAAGGUUGACCUCGGAUCAGGUAGGGAUACCCGCUGAACUUAAGCAUAUCAAUAAGCGGAGGAAAAGAAACCAACAGGGAUUGCCUCAGUAACGGCGAGUGAAGCGGCAACAGCUCAAAUUUGAAAUCUGGCUCUUUCAGGGUCCGAGUUGUAAUUUGUAGAAGAUGCUUUGGGUGUGGCUCCGGUCUAAGUUCCUUGGAACAGGACGUCAUAGAGGGCGAGAAUCCCGUACGUGACUGGGUGCCUUCGCUCGUGUAAAGCUCUUUCGACGAGUCGAGUUGUUUGGGAAUGCAGCUCAAAAUGGGUGGUAAAUUUCAUCUAAAGCUAAAUAUUGGCCAGAGACCGAUAGCGCACAAGUAGAGUGAUCGAAAGAUGAAAAGCACUUUGGAAAGAGAGUUAAACAGUACGUGAAAUUGUUGAAAGGGAAGCGCUUGCAACCAGACUUGCGGGCGGUUGAUCAUCCGAGCUUUUGCCCGGUGCACUCGAUCGUUCUCAGGCCAGCAUCGGUUUUGGUGGGCGGAUAAAGGCCUUGGGAAUGUAGCUUCUUUCGGGGAGUGUUAUAGCCCUCGGUGCAAUGCGCCCUACCGGGACCGAGGACCGCGCUUCGGCUAGGAUGCUGGCGUAAUGGUUGUAAGCGACCCGUCUUGAAACACGGACC